CAAAAACACUGACUCUCGGUGACUUAAAACACCGGCCACUGGGAUUGGGUGAGUGUUGGUGGUUUUUCUUUUUCGUGAAAUUUUGCGAGUGUUGAGAAACAAGGGUUUAUGCAUUAUCUUUCCCUCUUUCUUUGCUUGAGAGGUGAAUUAAUUCUCCUAUCAGGGAACAAAUUACUGCCUCGUUAAUCUCAGCUAAGUUAGCCCAUUUAUGUUCUUGUUUUAAAUUUCGUUUCUUUUUUCAAUUGAAGGGUUUAUAUUACCCGUUAGCUUUCUGGGUCACUCUAAAAAUUUGAGCUUUCCUGUGUUUUAUGCACCAUAUAUAUAUAUAGAUAUAUACACACACAUAUAAUUGAAAAGUGUAAUUGAUGACAUCGAUUCCAUCAAAGAACAUAUGGAUUAGGCGGCAACAAUGCCCGUGUGGGGAUUGGAAAUGUUAUGUUACAUAUGAGGGAGAUGCUGAAGAGACCAACAUAGCAUCCCAAUUGGUAAAGAAUGAUAACACACCUUCAGAAGCUAUGGUUUCCCCCUAUGUAGGAAUGGUUUUUAAGAGUGAUGAUGAUGCAUUCGAGUACUAUAGUAAUUUUGCUAGAAAGAAUGGGUUCUCAAUUAGGAAAGAGCGAUCGAGACUUAGCCCGCAGUUGGGUAUCUAUAAACGUGACUUUGUUUGUUACCGUUCUGGUUUUGCACCCGUGAAGAAGAAGCCUACCGGGGAACACCAUAGGGAUAGAAAAUCAGUGCGGUGUGGAUGUGAUGCAAAAAUGUAUUUGUCAAAGGAGGUUGUUGAAGGGGUUUCUCAAUGGUUUGUUGUGCAAUUCAGUAAUGUUCAUAACCAUGAACUUUUGGAAGAUGACCAAGUACGCCUUCUUCCGGCGUAUCGAAAAAUUCAUGAGGCUGAUCAAGAACGGAUACUUUUACUCUCUAAAGCUGGAUUUCCCAUACAUCGUAUUGUGAAGGUGCUGGAGUUGGAAAAGGGGAUUCACGGUGGACAAUUGCCCUUUUUGGAAAGAGAUGUCAGAAAUUUUGUCCAAAAUCGCAAGAAGGUAGUCCAAGAAAAUGAUGCUUUGCUCACUGAGAAAAGAGAAAAUGAUACAGCGGAACUCCUUGAGGCAUGCAAGGUGACGAAAGAGGCAGAUGAAGACUUCGUUUAUGAUUUCACAGUCGAUGAGAAUGACAAGGUUGAAAAUAUUGCAUGGGCCUAUGGCGAUUCAAUCCGUGCAAAUUCUAUAUUUGGUGAUGUAGUUUAUUUUGACACUACAUACAGAUCGAUCACAUAUGGCAUGCUUUUUGGAGCAUGGCUUGGCAUUGACAACCAUGGAAAAGCCAUUUUCUUUGGUUGUGUUUUACUGCAAGAUGAAACUUCACGUUCUUUCUCAUGGGCUUUACAGACUUUUGUUCGUUUCAUGAGAGGAAGAUAUCCACAAACAGUUCUCACAGAUUUUGACCCCGGGCUUAGAGAUGCUAUACGAAGUGAAUUACCAGCCACUAAACAUGUAAUAACCUUAUGGAAUAUUCAAUCAAAAUUGUCCAGUUGGUUCUCUCUUCCACUUGGAUCUCGCUAUGCAGAAUUUAAAUCUGAGUUUGAUGCUUUAUAUCGGCUGGAAAGUACAGAGGAGUUUGAACUUCAAUGGAAUCAAAUGGUUUCAUUGUUUGGACUUGGUACUGAUAAACAUAUCAUUUUACUUUAUUCAUCCAGGGCAUCUUGGGCAUUAUCCUAUAUGAGAGGAUAUUUUCUUGCUCGGAUGGCAACAACAGUGUAUUUGAAAUCUGUUGAUGCAUUCUUGAAAGGAGUUUUCAAUGCACAAACAUGUUUGCGCAGCUUCUUUGAGCAGGUUGGUAUUUCUGCCAAUUUUCAGAAUCAGACACAUCAAGAGAUGCAGUAUAUGUAUAUCAAAACAUGCGUACCCAUAGAAGAGCAUGCCCGGGGUAUUCUUACUCCUUUUGCUUUCAAUGCUUUGCAACAUGAGUUGGCACUAGCCAUGCAAUAUUCUACCUCCGAAAGGCCUGAUGGAUCAUAUCUUGUGCACCACUUCAAAAAUCUGGAUGCAGAUCGUCUAGUUAUAUGGAUACCAGAAGAAGAGCAUGUUCACUGUUCUUGUAAAGAAUUUGAAUCCUCAGGAACAUUAUGCAGACAUGCUCUUCGGGUAUUAAUACUAAAGAAUUACUUUCAGCUUCCUGACAAAUAUUAUUUGAAUAGAUGGCGAAGAGAAAGCUCUAUAGUCUUUUAUGAUGAUAAUGGUACUCAACAUUCUGAAGAUGAAUGGUUUCAAGAAUAUCAAUGCCUUAGUGAGACUCUAUUUUCAGAAUCGUCAAUUACAAAGGAGCGUUCUGAUUAUGUCCGUAGGGAACUUGGAAAAGAACUUUCAAGGCUCCUUGAUGAGGUUAGAAAUAUGCCAGAGAGCGAUGGAGUAACUAUGGAUUUGACACUUUCACCAACUGGUUAAUUAUAAAAACGUUUGGUGCUUUAUGAGGUAGCAAAUUCAGUUACAGCUUAAUUUGCUCAAGUCAAAGAGAAUAGACAUGUGACAGAAAGUUUGACCAGAAGGUGCAUCGUUUUGCGUUCUUUCUUUCUAGUUUUGAGCGGAAAAGUCUGACAUGUCAGCAAGGGCUAACCCUGAGUCCUCCAACUAAGGAGACCGAUUGUUUCAGUUGCCAAUACAUUUUUGUGACUUCACUGGAGAAUUAGUGGCAGGCAGCAUAAAUGUGUACAAGGAAAAGGAAAAGCUUAUUUGAAGGUGCUCUAAUGUUUAUAAUGUCGCCAGUGUAUAUUAAUAUAAAGAAGCACAGUUUCUACCUCAUUAUUUCUCUUGCACCAUUUUUUUCUCAGUACAACCUCCAGCCUAUUGCCAAGGUGGUAAUUUAUAUAUUGGGUAAUCCUAGUCACCAAUACAGAAGCUUACCAUAGAAUAAAUUCCUCUUCUAGGAGCUACUUAAGCUGCUAGAACUUGGAAGCAGUGUCUAGAUUGAUCCUUCCUCUUUCCUAGAUGAUUGUAGUUCAAAAGUUAAUGGGUAUGGAAUUCUCGUAAGAUUCUCAAACAGGUACAGUUUGGAACUUCUGUCACUUGAUUCAUUAAUCCUUCUACAGGUAAUGUUUUGCCUUUUUUAUUCUUUAUUUAUUUAUUUAUUUAUUGGGUAAUUUUUAAAUGUUUUGCGGUUGUUUCAGGCAGGAACUGAUCAUACGUGCAUGAACCCCCUCACCCCUUGGGAUUAACUUUCCCAGUUGAAAACUUUUUCAUCUCUUUGCAGCCCCAUCUGUGCUUUUAUGGCUCAAUGGAAAAGGUGUUUGUUAUCUUUGCUCAGCAUCCAAGCUCAAAUCUAUCUCCAAAAAGCUGAGUGAUACUAAAUGUCAAUACGCUUGCAUAGAUAUUAAAGUAGUUGUUUCUCUGGCAUUCAAUAGAAAACAUGCAUCAGCAUGGACAUUCUAGUUUCUAAAACUAUCUAUGCUACGCAGCUUAUUAUCUCCAAUUGAACAGUAUACUCACUAAGCCUCAAUGGGUAUGAGGCUCUGCUUGAUUCAAAUGCCCAUUAUAUGUUUGAUUUUCUGGAUUUCUGGACCCGCAAGAACUUGCCCCAUUUGGGUGUGACAUGAAAGAUGGACAAGUUGUACUUAUCCUCAAUACGGUCAUGGUCCUAUAUAUCCUUUCUUAAUGCCUUUUA